rnacentral:rRNA from 1 species
AUGCAAGGGCAUGCUUCCUGCAAUUUUAUUGGAUGGUACGGUGUUAGGCUCACAAUGUAUGUUAAUAUAAAUGGUCCUUUAUUCAGCAUACCUCUUUCUUCAUUUGGUUUGGCUUUCCUCUGCUGGUCAUGUAUUAGCAAUAAAAACCCAAGAAGUAGAAGAUUUGCCUUUCAAGUUCUCAUUGUUUGUUGUUCCUCCAUACUUAUUUGGUUGGGCUUGUUUGGAUUCUCCACAGUGUACACCAACAUGGGCGAUGUGCUCUUCACCAUGGCUUGGCGCUCGCUGCUGCCAUCCCUUGAAAGUGAUAUGACCUCCACGAGCACAAUAAAACCUCAAAAGUAUAAUAUUUUCCUUUCUAGACAUCAACUUUUUUGUUCUUCCAUUUUUGCUUAUUUGGUUAGGCUUGUUUGGAUUCUCCACUGUGUACACCAUGGGCAAUGUGCUUUGCGCCACGGCCUAGGCACUCGCUGCUUCCAUCCCUUGGAAGGGACAUGGCCUCCAUGUGUGCUUCGUCAUGUGUGUGAGAGAGGGAGAGGGAGAGAGAGGGAGGUAGGGGGAGUUUACAUCCAUGAUGCGGUUUAA